CACUUGCUGUGUCGGUAGUUUUUGCAGCAAAAUUUUUGUUAAGGAAGUCUCCGUAUGCUUUGUUUCGAACGUAAAAAUCAGAAGAAGAACCCUUGGAUCCGAAGACAACUUUGGGUUUUCCGGGCAGGCAUUUAUCAGAAUAACAGUCUCUUAACUUCAUAUCCUGCAAUGAAUAAUCAAUUAAUUAUUGUAGUUAAUCCACUUGAAAAUUCAAAGAUAUAUAUAUUCAUGGUCUUAAUAAUAUCAUUAUAGGCUUAGCGAUAGUUUUAAUGGCAAUGAAGAAGAAACAUGCAGCUAAUUCAGCUGAAUAUUCUGAGAUUGACAAACCUUGAGCGCUUUAGUGGCAGCUUCAUACCAGGAUGCGGUGAUGGGAAGCCAGAAAACUUCCUUGGGUGCUUCACUUGGAGUGAACAUGUUAAUUUUCUCAUACUCUACAGUCCCCAACAAGUUCUCUCCAUUCUCUGGAUAAUUGAAGUCUCCAAAUACCAGAUGACCUUUCUCCUCCGAUCCGAAUUUCUGCAUGAUAUAGAAUUGAUUACGUAGUAUUAAUUAGUCCCAACACCACUGCUGAUAUACAAUGUAAGAACUUUUUUAUUUUUAUGGAUUAUUCUUGUUAUUUGUCAAGAUUAUAUAAUAUAUCAUUGUUUUCUUAUUAGCUAUAUAUUAUACGAUAUCACUGUCACUAUGUCAGAUAUGAUGUACGUCUUUAAAAAAAAAAUCAAAUUUUAAAACAAAAAUAAAAAAUGAAAACCAUAAAUGAUAGCAAAGGCCGUACGCACCUUCCAGUUCCAAACUCCGGUGAAGGCAACAGCCUGCGGCACAGAAACAUCACCAGGAACCAUUGUUUUCUUAUCCAAGCUUCCAGCGUUCCCAAAAUAGAUGACUCCGUGAAUGUGGAAUCUAGCUAAAAGGAUUUGCAAAGCUGUUGCCAUAUUUACCUGUCAUAAAACAACUAUUUAAGACACGAAAGAUGCAAGUUUCUUUCGUUAAAAAUAAACAAAUUAAGGUAGAGUUAGUCUUACUGAAGCACUCCCUGUCUUGACAUAUACAAUAGAAGAACCGUUUAGUGUCCCGCUAUGGAACCUUCUGCCCGCAAUGUCGACAGAGGAGUCUUCACUGUCAGGGCUAUAGAGUCCGGAGUCUUUCAGAGCCCUUUCGUUGACAUCAGAGGUAAAAACUAGCCCUAAGCGGAGGUGUGCGACUUUGCAAUUGCUUUUCUCGAUCUCAGCAAUGGAGUCUAUCAAACUCGCUUGCAUGGACUGCUGUGGCAUAACCAGCAGCAGCCCAAGCAACAGCAGUGCUGCCAAAUUGACUCUAGACAUUCUAUGGAGCUCAAGUGUUAAAGUGAAGUGACAAUGCUUUAGAUAAUUAAAUGCAACUGCUUUGUGGAAUGAUGGUAUUUGGGUGCUCCUCAUGUGCCUUUAUAUAGAAAUCGACCAUAGCUUCUUCUUUUUUUAACGCAAUUACAUAAAUGCCCUGUGUUGUUAUAAUUGACGACGUUGAAUAUCUCGAUGCCUCUCUCAUAGCAAUUUUUUUAUAUAUAAUUUUUUUUUAUUAAUUUAGUUUGUGUACCAUUUGCCGAUUACAAACCCUAAAUUUAAUAAUUAUAUAAAUUUUUAAUAAUUUUAAAAUUUAUAAGAUUAAAAUUGAUAACCUCUACUAAAAAAACUCUUAUUAGUUAAAUUACCAUCCUUAAAGUUAAUAACUUAAAUUUUUUAUAUAUAUAAAUGAUUAGUAUAUGUUGUUGUACUAUUAAAAAAAAAAUUUGAGAAAAAAGUUGCUAAAUUAAGUUCAAGAAAAUUAAUGCAAUUUUUCAGUUAAAUUAGUUCAAGCAUAAAAAAAUUUAAAUAAUUUAUUAAAGGAUCCUAGAACCCAAAUUAGUUUACAACAUCACAAACGGAUUGAAAGUAAGAAUGAGUAGUGUUAAUGAACAUUUUUCAUAUUUAUUAAAAAUCAAAAACAAUAAAAAAAUUUAAAAACUGCUCACCAAACUUUUUUUUUAUGAAACACAAAUUCAAUUAUUAAAUUUAAUAUGACAUUAAAAUCUUGAUGAUUAAAUGAUUAUGAUUUCAAAUCUUAUUAGCCUUAUUUUUUAAUUAAAUUAAAAAUUUAAUAUAAAAUAAAUUUAUAUAAGUUUUAUUUUAUCUAGCUUGUUUGGCUUAUAAUAAAAGAGAAAAAAGGUCCGUGGUCGAAAGAAAAAGAAUUUGAAAACUGCAAUAAAAAAUAGUUUCUUUUUUAGCUUUAACCUUUUGGAGAUUUUUUCAUAUCCUGAGAGUUGUCAUCACAAUUAAUGAAGAAAAAAACAAAACCGUCACUGGGCCCAAAAUAAUUUUGCAUCGUUAGUACAUCUAAAGCAGUAUUUGGAUUUGAACAAUCGUACACACAUUAUCCAUAAUUUCUCCAUACAAAAUUAAAAAAUUAAAACAACAUAAAAAACAAAAUAUACAACGACAGCACAUCACUUAAACAAAAGAACUUUCAAAUUUUAAAUCAUAUCCUUUAAUUGGUUAGGUACUAUUUUACUUUUUAAAAAUUAUUAAUUUAAAUUUUAUAAAUUUUAAAAUUAAUAAAGAUAUACAUAAUUAUUAAUUUUAAAACUUUUAAAAUUAAUUAAAAUAUAUACAAUGACCUGGAUAAUCAUAUUAAAAAAAAAAAACUAGAUCCAUCAUUAUUUAAACUAAACGUAAUAAAUAUCCUUUAAAUUGCCUCAUAUAAGCCAUGCCAUGUUAUGAAUUAAUACUAUUUAGCAUUAUAUAUUAUUUUUAAAUAAAAUAUAUAAGUGAUAAAUUAAAGUUUCAGAAUAUGUAAGUAUAUUUUAGAUGAAUGAUAAUGCAAAAUUAAAAUUAAGAAAAGGGUCUCUAGCCUAAUUUAAAAAUAUUAACAUAGACUAGAAGACGUUUUCUUUUUGAUAAUUUACUGAACAGUUAAUAAAUUAUGACAAGAAGUAUAUAUUUUAUAAAAUUUUAUUAUGAUUUAUAUUUGAAAAUAUUUGAUUUAUCUUACACUAAAAGACCAUCAUAUCUAAUAAAAAAGUAUAUGAUCAAGGGUUGUUGAAGAGAGAGGGAGGGAAGAAGAACGUGAGGGAAAAUAAUAGGGUUUGCCGCUGGUGAAAACCAAUAGCGAGGAAGGGUUGGUAAAGAGGAAAAAAAAGAGAGAUAAAUUCAUCUAAGUCAAACUUUAAAUUAGCGUGAUUAUUUUUAAUUUUAAUUUAUUUUUAUAAAAAAAAUAACUAAAUAGAAAUAAAUAAAUAAACAAAACCAAACCGAAACCAGUUUAAACCGACCGGUUUUGGUUUUUUUUUUUAGACAAAAACCAGUUGGCUCGGUUUUUUUGGUUUGGCUCAGUUUUUUUUUAUUUGACUCGGUUUUUUCAAUUUGGCUCGGUUUUGGCUCUGUUUUCCCGGUUUGGCUUGGUUUUUUCAGUUUGGGUUUGGUUCGGUUCGGUUUUUUUGGUUGCAGACUUAUAAAAUCGAAACCGAACCGGUCGUUUUUUAAAAUUUUAAUCGGCUUAAUUUGUUUUUUUUACAGUUCGGUUUUUUCAGUUAUUUUUUUUCAAUUUUUUCGCUUUAAUCAGUUUUUCGGUUUUUUUACUCACCCCUACUUUAAAUACAAGUUUCUGCAACUAGUUAAUGUUCUUGUAAUUGCCAAUACAAUAAAUUUUUUAAAAAAAACAAAAUAAAUAGUGCUUUUAAAAUAUGCACUCUAUAAUUUUUUUUAAAAAUAAUCAUUUGAAACUAAUGAAUUAUAUAUUACUAUAGAUAUGUCUAUCUUAAUCCAAUAUUAAAUAGGAUUUGAUGCCCCUCAAGUUAAUGCUAGCAUAAUAUUUAAUUUUAGUUAAAUCCUAACCCUUAGAUUGUUAAUUGAUGGCCAGGAGCAUUACAUAUAAUUAUACUACUCGUAAAAAAUAAAAUGAAAUUCCUAAUUUGAUCACAUUUUAUACAUGGUAGAUCAUGAAAAACUUUACCUUUAUAUAUACCUAAGCUCAUUUUAUAAAUGUUAAGAACAAUUAAUUUCCAAAUCGAUCCAAAGUCUCAUAAUAACUCUAGUUUUGAACAAAAAUAGGAUUUAUCAUAUAACAUAUUUCUUGUGAAUGGAAAAGUAUUCUUUUGUUAUUUUUCAGAUCCAUUAAAUCAAAAAGCAAUAAAACGAAAAUGAAAUCUUAGAUUGAGCUAGCUUGCAGUAAAUAGUAUUAAGAUUUUGAUUAGUUGGGACAAAAAAGAGUUCAACAAAAUUCAUGUACCUAUCUAUUUUUUUUUUUAAUUAUUGAAUACUUUAUCUAUCUAUUUUUUAUUAUUGAUUAGGGUUAACAUUUUAUUAGAAUUUAUUUUCUAAUAAAAUGUUUUUUAUAAUGGAAUAUCAAUAUUAUGGUUAAAAUAAAUUAUGAGUCAAUGAAAAAUUAAUUUUAAAAAAUCUUGUUUGAAAAACCUAAAACUUUUUAUCUUAUAUGAAAAGAAAGAUUUUCUUUAGUUUAGAUAAUAGAAUGAUGAAUUAUUAAAAUUAAACCUCGGGAGGACCAAAUUUUAUAGAGAAAAAUAGUCUAAAUAAAAUGAGCUGCUAGGGCCAAAGCUAGGCUUGACUUGGGUUUGUAUAUACUAUUAAAAACGUUAUUAAUAUAAUUGUGCAUGCUUAUAAAUCUUUUGUUUGUUAAUUUGUUUAGCAUUCUAUAGGUGCUAAACAAUUUUUUUAUUUGUUUCAUACAUGCUUUUGAGAAGCCAAAAAAUUUUAUUUAUAAUUUUUUGAUGCUAGUGUCCAAAUAAAAAAUAUUGUCUUGAUUAAUGUUGCUUUGACAAUUACUAUUUUGAUUAGAAGGAUUCUACAAUCAACUUCUUUGGUGCAUGCUGAAAAAUAUGAAAAGUUUAAGAGCUAGUAGCAAAAAAUGAUAUUCUAUCUAACCAUUGUGAACUUAUCAAAGUUCUUGACUAAAUAAAUGUCAAAACUAUUAGAUAAUGAAUAUAAUCCCACCAUUGUGGUAAGUGUUGAUGCUUGGAAUCAUAACUAUUUUGUAUGCAAAAAAUAUAUGUUGAAUGGAUUAGAUAAUGCAUUAUAUAAUAUGUAUAUUUAAAUCAAGAGUGUAAAAAUAUUAUAAGAAGCUUUGGAUAAAAAAUACAAGGUUGUUGAUGCUGUUAUGAAAACAUUCAUAGUAAAAAAAUCUUUUAGAUUUUAAGAUAGUUUAUUAAAGGACCAUUAUAAGCAAAGUUUCAAAGUUUCAAAUCAUCUUCCAUGAUAUUCUUGUUGAAGAUAUGGUUAUAAGUGCGUCUUUUCAAGCAGUUGUAAUUAUUGAAAAGUUGUAAUAUAUUGAAAAGAUUUCAAGAAUAACAUUAAGUAUAAGCUAAAAAAAUAAGAGUUGAAGACUUUAUCUUGAUAUUAAGAAUAGAAUAGAAAAAUAAAUGGCCCAAAAGAUAAGCCAACUCUUAUGGUAUGACCCCUAAAGGAAACAUUGUAGAACAAGUGGCAAAGUCCAACAAAAAAAAAUAAAAGAAAAAUCUUGUUGUAAAGAGAAAAUAAAUUGCCAAGAAGUUCAGUGGUAAAUUCUUCAUCUACAACAAGAUUGAACAUUUGGCUAAGGAUUACAAAAAUAAAGCUCAACAAGGGAACCCUAGAAAGAGAAGGACUACUCAAGCUAAUAUCAUUGAGGUUGAUCACCUCAUUAAUGAAGUUUUGAAAAUGAAGUCAACCAAAUCAAGAAUUUCAAGCGGUGAUGGAUUGAUAUUGGUGUAACAUGACAUUUAUGCACCAAGAAUAUGAUAUUUUUCAAUUAAAAAUAAGUGGAUGGUGAACACUUGGACAUGAAUAAUUUAUCAACUCUCAAUAUACUAGGUAGAGAACUAUAUGAAUAUUGUUGUCUUGAUUUAUAUAAAAAACUAAAUAGUUCAAGAUAUUGUAUUCACUAUUUAGACAACUACAUUAGAUAGUAUUUUACUAAGAAAUGUUCAUAGCCAAAAUCUACUUAUCAUAAGUAACGACCCUGCAAAUUAGUAUUUCCUAUGAAUCUUUUAUUGGCAUGUUUUAGAAAACCUAAAACCCUCUAUCAAAUAUAGAAAAGAAGCAAGGUUUUCUUGUAGUUUAUAUAGUGGGAAGAUAAAGAGUUAGAAUUAGUCCCAAAUGGCACAAAAGCUUUUAGAAAAAAGAGAUAAGAAAAGUGAGCUUUGAGUUUAAGUCAUACAAGCAUGCUCACUCGGAUCAGCUCGCACUUGAGCCUUAAGCUAGGCUUUGGCUUGGGUUUAUGUAGAACCUUUUUUUUUUUUACUACAAAAAAUUAUUUUUUCCAAUCUAUUUUUAGCUUGGGUUUGUGUUUGUUUUUAUUUGACCUAUAAAGAAUUAUUUUUUGCCAGCCCAUUAGGUUUUCUAGCCUAUAGUUUUUCUAGCCUAUAAAUAAAGAGUCUGAACAAUUUCUUUAAACUAGAUAAUUUUUUUCAUCCUAGAUAAUUUUUAUUCAAAAACAAAAUCAAUUUUAAAGCAAAACAUUUCAAGUUUAAUUCUAGUUUAUAGCAAGUAAUUAAGUCUAAUAAUGGUGAAAAUUAAUUUUGGUAAUUAAUAAAACUAAUUUUUUUUUAUCAAUUUUGGUUCCAAAUUCUUCUAUAAAAAGGAAAUAAAGAAAGUGUAUUUAUGGACAAACUUUUUAUAGAUUUUUUUUUACUCUUUUUCCUUUUUUCCAUUUUAUUCUCCUUUGUUUUAAGCUCAAAUUUGUUUUAUUUUUUCACAUUCUUUUAAACGUAAGUUUUGUCUUGGUAAAGAGAUAUUUUAGUAAAAUCUCUUUAAGUUCAUGGACUUUGUUUAGAAAUAAAACUAAAUAAGAUGAUGUUAUUAAAAUCGUAGAAGACUUGUUGAGAUUAGUCCAUCUGAACCAAGAAAUGAAGAAAUGAGAAAUACAUUCUCGAGAACAAAUAAUUGAUCAUUGACAACAAAAUAUUUAGCUUAAUUAAUUUUUAAUUACUUCAACAAGUAUAUAUAUAUAUAUAUAUAUAUUUGUUUAAAUACAAAAUUCAAUAUAUAUUUACUAUGCAUGCUAGGAUUUUUUUUUAAUAUCUUAUGUAAGUUUCAUUAUAUAUUUAGUAUGCAUGCUAGCAUUUUAUUUUAAUUGCAAGUUUACAUUGAUUAUAUAAAUUUCAUGCAUAUAGAUUAAACUUUUAUGAUCAUCAGUCUAAUCUUUGAAAAAAAACAUAAAGAGCACAUAAAAUCACACAGGAUAAUAACUUUUUUUUUAAGAGAGAGAGAGAUAGAUGUAAAUUUUUCUAUUUUAUAUAUUAAAGAAGUAAAUUAAUUAAGGUCAAAGAAAAUCAUCUAAUAAAAUCAAUAUCUUUUCGUUUUAGUUUGAAAAUAAGCUAAUAAAGUCAUGUGUGGCAAAGUUGAAGGGAGCUCAAACCAUAUAAAAUAAAAUCAUUUUUUUAGAGAUAUAUAUUUAUGGUGCAUGUAUAUCAAUUUGGCCAUAUAUUUAAUAAAUAUGAGUAAAAUUCAAUAAUGUCGGUCAUGUAAGAAAAAAUAUUGUGUUAUAUAAGAUUGAAGUUGAAACAAUCUAUUAAUUCAUUGAAAAAAGAAAUAUUAACAAAACAGGGUUUUAGACAAAAUGCUUUAGGAGUAGCAUUUUUUUUUUUUAAUGAUGUUUUUUAAUAAUCCCAAAUCUAUGUUUCUGGAAUCAAGAGCUAGAGCUGGUCUUCGAAAUUAACGAUUUAUAGGUAGCCUCGCAUCACCCUUUGGGGUUUGGAUAAGCCAACAUCGUGCAUCCUCUUAUAAACAAUGAAGUUAUAUAGUAAUAAAGUUCAUUUACUAUAUAUAAUUGAUGUGCGAAUCUCUAUGCUCAAGAAAAAUCAUGUGGGAUUCUAGUGGAAAUCAAUUCUAAGCAACAGCCUAUGGAUGUGAUUAUUAGAUGUCACAAUAUCUUUCAUAAGAGAUAAUUAUCAUUUUCUAUAUAUAUAUAUAUAUAUAUUAUAUAUAUAAAAGUGCACCAUUCCAAAAGUUUUUUUUAGUUUAAAGUAGGUGUCCGGGCCAGUUUGCGGGCACCUCGAUAAAUUUCAUGUACCCUGAAGUUAACAACCAUGUAAGUCUCCAGUGGUCAUCAUAUAAACAACCCAGGACUCGAACCUGAAACCACAAAAAAAACAAAUCUUUUUGUCUCAAAUUUUUAUUCUUAGACCAUCAUCUAAAUGGUUUUUUUUUUUUUAACAUGAGAAAAUACGUGCUUACAGUGUGCUCUUUUUUUAUGAAGAUUAUCAAGGACAAAAAAAAAAUAAAAUUCAUUGAACUAAUUUUUUUCUUAAAAAUCCCAAGAAUCGAUAUAAAUUUUUUGUCGGCCACCCAUUAAUUUGUCUGUCUGGAAAUUAGUGAUAUAUAUUGUCGGAGAUCAUUCAGUCAGUAAUCCCUGACAAAGACUCCGAAACAUUUUAGAACCGCAAAACGAAGAAACGAAAAAACUGAGAGUAAAUGUAGGAUAUGAUCAUGGGACGUCUAGUCAUGGCAUCGCGACAGCAACCCCUCGAUAUUGACUCCUUAUCCGUUUUACUACUGGUUGCUACUUGCUAGGGAGCCAAGGAUAAAAACUCUGCAACUUCAAAAGCUUAUUAGCUCAGUUUUUAAAUUUAUCUUUUAAUAUUUAUAUUUGUAAGAUUAGUUGAAUGGUAUAUAAACUAGAUAUUCAUAUUAAUUUUUUUAUAAAAAAAAAACUCUGCCAAAGCUUGUUGUAUAUGACUACUUAUUUUAAAACAAUAAUUUUGAACUUCUACAAUAACAUAUCCACACAAAAAGAAAAACAAGUGAUUUCUUAGCAUGAUUAAACUUUUCUAAUUUUUUUAAAAAACAAAACAAAUACCUCGAUUCUGCAUGGGAAACUAAGUUUUGUACUAAAAAAAUCAUCCCAAAUCAGUUUAAAAUAUCAAAUAAAUAAACCUGAAUUAUAGUUUAAAAUCAUUCCCAAAUCAGAUAUCAUCGACGACGAGUUUUCUCUCUUCAUCCUACGUGGGAUCCCAUGAAAAUAAUAUCUUCAACCAUAUUCACUCUGAGCAAGUAAAUAUAUAAACUUAAGAUUAUCCAUCCAGCUCUCUUCUCACCAUUCAUAGGCCGCUCACGAGAUUCCAUUUCUAUCCAUUACAGUAAUCGAAACCUGAAAACCACCUCCUUAUGCUCCACGUGGUUUGGAAUGUCAUAAAUAUUUGUACUUUGAAGCAGAUAGAAAGAGACAUUACAAUCAAAACAAGCUGCCAAAAACCCUGAGGCCCCUCAGCAUGUCCUUGGUGGCCCAUUCUUUCAUUCUUUGGCGCAUACAAUAUAAGCGUUAAGAUAAUGGAUAGUGUUGUCAUUUUUAGGUUAUGUGUACAACCCGCUUAGGCAACAAAAUAUGGUCUUUUAAGGUGUUUUAAAAAUCAUAUCAUCAAGUUGUUUUCAAAAAGCUCUGACAUGUCCUUGAUGGCCCAUUUUUUCAUUCUUUUUUCUCUUUUUUUCUCUUUUUAUCCUUUCUCUUCUCUUAUGACAUAUCAAUAUUAUAAUGAAUAUUUCAGCCCCAUUGAUUAGUAAUUAAAAAUGUAUUUUUAUCGAGAUUUUAUAUCAUCAUUUUACACUUGAAGUAUCAAUAACUCCUUAACUAAAAACAUGUUUUAUAAUAACAUAUCUAAUAAUAUAAGAUACCUUUAAUUUAUGGUAAAUGUUCAUCUUAAAUUCAGUCCUAUCACAUAAAUGAAAGUUUUGAUUGAUGAGUUUAAAUAUUAAAAUUGAAAGGACAAAAAGAGGGCCAAACUUAGAAAAGAGAUGUUGGUUUAGUCCAAACUGGAACAUUGUUCGAUAAUUAGGUCAUAUCUAGAGUUGUAGAUCUCGGAUUUAGGUCUGCUUUAUAUGGAUGGAAAGCUAAGACAUAAGCCUAAAAUUUUAAUGAAAGUCCAAGAUUUAAAAAGGUUGUUUUCAAGUCCAAAUUAUAGCAACAACGAAGAAGUCUGAAUCUGUCCUGCAACCUAGACAUUGUUUAGUGUUCAGCCCAUAUCUCGAGUUCUAGAAGUCCAAAUGACCUCAAUUUUUUUUUUUUAGAAAGCUGAGACAAUUUCCUAGAACUUUCAUGGUAAGGUUGGUUCAAAUUCUGAUGUUAUUAAUGAUGUUUUGUUCAGACAAGAAGAUAAGAAUUGUCACCAAGUCAACAUAUGGCCACCCACUUAACAAUUAGUCAUCAAAUCAAUAGUUCCAAAUUUUGGCCUAUAAAAGAAGGUAUUUGCCAUGCAUUUAGGCAUCUUGGUUGUUCAGAUCAAGAUUAUAUUUUAUUUCUCUCUUUAUAUUUUUGUAAUGCUUAAGUUUUGCUUUCAUUAAUUCUUGUUUAUACUUUCAUUUCCUUUCCUUUACUUAGUUAACUUGUAUCUUAUUUAUAUUCUUAUUUUGUUUAUUUAUGUUUCUCUUCUUUAUUAUGUUUAGCUAAGUUUAUUAUGUCAAGGUGAAAAUGUUACACUAAUGGUGUAAGAAUAAGUAUAAUAUAAACUCAAUAUGGACUUCAAUGCUUAUAUCGUAAACAAUUUGCUAUUAACAUGUCUUAUCAUUUUUAUCUUAUUAAUUCUUAAUACCUUGCUUGUUAAAUGGUUAAUUUAGAUUUGUGUUGUAUAACACUUGGUACAACAAAUGCUUGGCACUUUCAUAGCCCAACCGUAUGGUAUAACCUACACUUGUGCUAUGAAAGGAACUUGAUUUGUUGUUAACAUAAGUAAGCAUCAUGAAUUCCUAACAAUAUUUAAAAGUUUGAUGUUACUUAAAUAAGAUAAUUAAUAUGAUCAUGUUAACAAUUUAUAAUGUGCUAUUAGUGACAAAUCAUCCGAUUGGAACCUUCUUUGUGUGUGGUUUCUAGUUAAGUAAUAAAAAUAGUUUAUAUUAUACUUGUUUGAAAUACCAUUAGUGGAUCCUCUAACCUCGACAUUUAAUUUUAUCAUUGUUUAAUCCUCACAUUAAUCAAACAUCUCAAAGUCCUCUUUAACUUAUUAUUAUUAUUAUUAUUUAUAAUUUAUAUAGUUAACCUCACUGUGGUUGGACCCCGGUCUUGCCGAAUUAUUUAUUACUUCGAUAUUUCUACACUUGAAAGAAGACAUCAAUCUUUUGAUCGUGUCACUCAUUUCCUUCUUUUCAUGUAUGUGUAUAUAAAGGUAGGCAAAUGUGUUUUUACAUGGGUGAAAGUAGGGGGUGAGAUGUUUCAUACAAUUGUUUUUAUUUUAGUCUAUUUGGGACAUGGGCCAAAUGGAAUUUUUUUUUUAUGUCAGCUUGUUUAGGUCAUAGCCUAAACAUAUAUAUUUUUUAAUGUGCACAUCAUAUACUCCACUAAGUCUUUCAGAUGGACAUGUUUAAAAGACUUAACUAGUAAAAGUGGAGGAAGAAAAUACUUAAGAUAUAAAUUUUACCUAAUGUGGAUAAGAGAAUGUUACCAUGUUAGACAUUUGAAUGUUUACCUAUUUGUGUCUUACGAAGUGUCUGCAUGAAAGCUUUCUUCAUGUAAAUUUUUGAUAAUAUUAUUUUGAAAAGGAUCUUUAAUCCUUUUAGAGAUUAGUAAUCGUGGAGACCUGAAUAAGGAUCCUUAAUCAUUUGGGAGACAUUCGAGACAUAUAAAGAGAUUUAAUUAAGAUAUAUUUAAAGAUAUAAAGACUUGGCGUGUGAGAUUUUUCAUAGAGACAUGUAUGGAGAUAAAAUAUCUCGCUGUAAAGAUUUUCAUAGAGAUAUAUUUAGAGAUUUUAAUGUAGAUUUUUUUUAGAGACAUUGGAGAUAUGAAGAAAACUCAUUGUUUUUAUUAAAGAUUUGAAAAGAUGGAGAUAUAAUUCCUAGAGCUAAUUCGAGGACUAUUUAACCUAAGGUAAAUCAUCAAGUGUGCAAACUUUUGUCCUUUUAUUUUGAGGUUUUGUUUCCUUUUUCAUGAACAGGUGAAAAUAACCUUUGAUCAUCAAUUUUUCUAUCUUUGUUUUCAAGGCAUGACAUUCUUUAGUAUCAUGCCCAUGAUCAUGAUAUAAAAAAAAAGAGUUAAAUUUAUUAGUGUUCCUUGUGUUUGCAUAAUUUUUAAUGGGAUAAGGAUAUUGUAUAAAUUAUUUCCCUCCAUUAACAGCUGACAUUUCAGUCUGUGUGCUGGUUAGAGAGGUAGUCAAGAGCUUAAAGAAUGUCAAACGAUAAUAAAUGUGUCAUUUGGUGCUCAUUUUAGAUAAUCUAGUUAGAAACUAAUGAUGUUGAGUAUACUAUUUACAUUGACUUCUUCCAUCCUAAUAGAAUUUUUCAUUCACUAUUUAAUCAAAGUUAUAAAGCAUAUUAAUCAAAGAUUCUCUGAAAAAUAGAUUUAACGAGUCUUUCCACGUUGAAUAUUUCCUCUUUUGACAUUUGGAGAUAGGUCAUAGUGCUCACAUCUUCUCUAUAUAUGAUAGAGAAGAUUUCAAUGGUGUUAUUUUUAGUAUUUAUAUGAUACCAUACACAAGCAUAUCCAUGUUGCGUUGUUUGAAAAACUUUACACGAUGCAUCAUUAUUUUAUAUGACAAGCUCUAUGAUACUUCUCAUAUAUGUAUUCUUAAUAUCCUGAGCUUGUUGAGAUUUUCCCAUACAAUUGAUUGAGUCAUUUUUCUUUGUAUUAUGCUUAACUUUCAUUCUUAUACGUGUCAUGGAAAUUAUGGUGUAGUUGCACUUUCAUUUUGUAACAUAUAAUAAGAUCUAGCACACUACUAAAAAAUAUGGUAAUUAGCAACGGACUAUUCCGUUGCAAAUACAACUGAAAUCCGUUGCUAAAACAAUUUAGCAACGGAAUCAGCAACGGCACAAAUCAGAUGCAGAUUUGUCGUUGCUGAUUUGUUUGCAACGGAUAAAUCCGUUGCUGAUUUCGCAGCAACGGAAAAUCCGUUGCUUAUAAAAAGCAACGGAUAAUCCGUUGCUAGUUUGACGAAUCAGCAACGGAGAAUCCGUUGUUGAUUCAUGCAUCAGCAACGGACUCUCCGUUGCUGAUGCACGCUGAUGCCUGCAUCAGUUGCAAUCACCAACGGAGAAUCCGUUGGUGAUUGUAUUAUUAUAUUUUUAUUAAAUUAAUUUUUAUUUAUUUAUUAAAAUGAUUUUUAAUUUAAUUUUAAAAUGAUUUUUAAUUUAAUUAUUAAAAUGAUUUUUAAUUUAUUUAUUUAUUUAUGGGUAGUUUACAAAUUGUAGAAUAUAUAUAACCAACAUAAAUUAAUAUUAACAAUAAUUAAUAAAAAAUAGAAUAAAAAUAAUAUUCAUAUUAUAAAAAUUUAGUUAAACUUGCAUUAAUACAAUUAAGUUCAAAUACAAAAAAAACAACAAAAGAUACAAUCAUGGUUCUGGUUGCGAAGACGAACCAUAAUAUUGUUGAUCAGGAUAUAAAGGUCGAGGUGUAGGUCGAUAAAUUGGUUGAGAUGUGGGACCCAUAGGUGUCAUUAUCUGAGGAGCCAUAUGUGGCGGUAUUGAUGGAGUCAAAGGUGGUGGCAUACCUUGAUCAAUAUUUGAUGUCCCGCCAUGAUAUCCAAGAUUGUUCACAAGAUAUUCUUGCAUGGAAUCCAUCUGCCGUUUCAUUGCAAAAAUCAAAUCAUCUUUUUUCUUUAUCUCCUCUUGCAAUGCUCGAUAUGAUGAACUGGGAUAUGAUGACUCCACCGAGUAGGAAUGUGAUGAAGAGCUUGGACUAACUAUAGAUUUUGGCAUACGAGGUGCACCAUAUACCCUACCCUUUGUAACUCCUCCUGAAGCCGCACACCAAGCUGCUCCAUCAAAUGAAGGAUGAUUUUCCCGAUCAGUUCCAUACUUUGAAAUCAUCUCCAUUUUAUAAUUUUCCUACAAAUAAAAUACAUGCAACAAUAAAUUAAUUUGAAUGUUAAAUAAUACUUGAGUUAUAUUAAGAAAUAAUCAAAUAAAAAUACAUACAACCACUUUUUUUGACUUGUUAUCGACGAAGCUACCAGACUGCUUGGUACUUUGAUGCAAAGCUGAAAAGACAUCAUCCCAUGGAGGUUCUUUUCCACCAGCUUCCUCUUGCUUUCAAGAUUAAUAAAUAUUAUAAAAGAUAAAUUUAUAAAUUUUAAUUCAUUAUCUUAAGCAUAAAAAAAAUAUAUCCUUACCAUGUUAGCUCGAUAUGAUGCAAAUGACACCGUUCCUCCAGAAUGAGUGCUUAUUUUGCCAUCUGUUUGGGAUAAUCGAUUCCUCCUAGCAGAUUCAGACCUCCUUUGAAAUUCAGGGGUGGACCAAACAUCUUUGAUCAUUUGAUUCCAAUCAUCAUUGUUUAUCCAGGUAGGACCUUUAUCAAGGCAAUCUAUAAUAUUUGUUGUGUUUUCUUUUGCCAUGGCAUUCUUGCGAGCUCGUGUCAAUUGUUGAUUCAAAGCUAUCCUAGCCUUAUCUUCCCAAAUAUUACGAACAAUCGACUCAUCUUCCUCAGAAAAGGAAUAUUUUUUCUACCAAAUAAUAUAUAUACCAAGUAAAAAGAGUGCACAAAAUUUCAAAUUAUAUAAAUAAUUAAUCAUAUUGUGUUAUCUUGUUCAGAAUUUGCAAGAAAAUAUAAUAACUAAAGAAAUUAAAUGAUAUUAAAGAGUAAACAAGAAAUAAGAACAAAUUAUAACACAAAUCAGUCAUAGCUAUUCAGUUGAUAAUUUUCAUAAUGCUACAUUAAAGUGAUCAAAAUUAAAAAGAAUAUUAUGGCAAUUAGUGUUGGUUCUUACCUUAAACUCUCUAAAAAGUUCAUCCCUGCACAUGGAAUCUACUUUUUCCCAAGAGUGCCAUGCUCCCUUAAAAUUGGACCUCAAAAUAUCUCCAAUUGCACAUCCACAUGAUGCAUUAUUGAACCUGAAAAUACAUAAUAACAAACUUAUAUUAAACAAAUAAUUAUACAAUAAUAAGUAAUUUUUUUCAUACCUGAAAAUAUAACCUUAAUCAGUUAGUUAUUAAAAAGUUGAACUUACUCUGUUGUUCCAUACAAACAAAGCUCUUUUUUUCUUGUUAUUGGAUCCAUUGGCGUGUCAAAACCCUUCCUUUUCACAAUUUGAUCAUAAUUGUAUGGAGAAGAUGUUGAACCGUGAUAUGAUGGAACACCAUCUUCAUCCUCAUCACAUACACCUCUCACAUUACUACCGUCUCCCUCAUCUCAUCUCUAAUAUUCACAUCAUCAUCAUCAUCACCAUCAACUCUCCCAUGACUCCCAUAUAAAUUAUGUCCUCCAUAAACAGUUGGUUAUCUCGAGAGAAACCUCCUUGAGUUUGAAGCAAAUCCUGAAAACGAAAUCCCUCACAAUAUUGAUAUGCAUCAACCCUCCCAUAAUCAUGUUGAGAAGGAUGUGUACUCCCCAAAUGAGGUAUAUAAUACUCAUUUGUGUUCUGAUACACAGGUUGAUGAACUGUGGAUGCUUUGUUAUUAUGCCUUGAUGUAGUUUGAAAUGAUUUGGAUGAAGUGGACUUGUCACUCCUUGAUGUGGACCUGUCACUCCUAGAUUCUAAUAUGGAUCCUCGUCGAGGCAUGCUAAAAACCAGAAAAAAUAUAUACAUUAUCAUAUGAAUAUAUACAACAUAACAAUAAUAGCCAUCACUCCGAAAAAUAUUAUACUUCAAAUAAAAUAAUUACUGCAACAAAACCAAAUAUGUAAAUAACAUCAAGACAAUUUCAUUAAGCAUUCUUUGCAAUGACAAAAAUCAGCCAUGAAGUUUAAAUUGUCAUAAGCCAAUUAACACAAACAAUAAAAAAAGAUAAAAUUCUAAAUAAUUAAUUAAGCAGAAAUCAAAAUUUAUGAGUAUGCUUACCUUAAUGUUUGGUCCUAUAAAUCAAAAGAUUGAGUAGGAAAAACCCUUUCUUUCACGCUUCAGCACCUAUAAGCAAGAAAACAAAUCACAAAAUAAAAUAUAACAUCAAAAUCACAAUUUAAAGAUUGAUACUUGAAAGGUUAUAAAUGGUUUCAAAGGUCAAUGAAAAUGAUUUAUGUAAUGUGAUGCAUAACACACACUUGAAUAAAAUAAUAAUAAAACAAAACAUUGAAAGCCUAAAUAUUGUCAAAUAAUAUGAAAUCAUCCAUACAUAUAAUAAAGAUAAUUCAUUACAUAUACUACGAAAUAAAAUUAACUUGUGCUACUCAUUAUUAUCAUCACUCCUAACCAUCACCACCAUAACAAUCAUCCUCAUCAUCAUCAUCAUCAUCAUCAUCUUCUUCUUCUUCUUCUUCUUCUUCUUCUUCUUCUUCUUCUUCUUCACCAUCACCAUCUUCUUCUGCUUCAUCAUCUUUGUUUCCCCAAUUUAUGUCAAGUUGAAUCAAUUCAUGUUGCCCGAUUUCUUCAUAAUGAGAUGAUUCAACAAGUAUAUUUGGAUCAUCAAGUGUUUGAGUAGGAAGGACAAGAGAUGGUUGAGAAAUCUCAUCUGAUUGAUCAACAUCAAAUGAUCUCACAUUGUUUGCAUCUUCAAUAAAUUCACCCAUAUCAACAUUAUAACGACUUCUAGCAGUUGUCUUAAUAACCGUCCACCAUUCAGAUGAUUUAUUACCAGGUGGAUAUGUAUAGUAGACUUGUUGACAUUGUUGUGCUAACACAAAAUCUUCAUUUCCGUGUAGUCGAGAUGUAUGCUUGAUUUCAACCAAACCAUUCGAAGGAUGCACUCUAAUCCCUCGUUUUGUAUCAUACCAAUUACAUUUAAACAUAAAUAACUUGCACUUACUCCCCAAGUAUUUUAGCCGAACAACUUCUUUAAGCAUUCCAUAAUAAUCACGUUCAUCAUCAUCAUAACAACUUCCUUUCACACAAACUCCACUAUUCAUUGUCUUUUUAAAACGACCAUAACGUUGAGUAUGAAAUUUAAAACCAUUCACAUAAUACCCAUUAUAACAUUUCACUGAAGUUGAAGGGCCCAUAGCAAGUCCAAAGAGCUGAUUUUCAAUUCCAUUAGAUUGGUAUUCCACCUAGCAUAAUAGUUAACUCCAUAAGAAAUAAUGAUUUAAAAGAUAUUAAUAAUAUUUUUAAAGUAGCUAAUUGACAUAAAAAUAUAAAUUAAUUUUAUUAAAACACUUACAUUAUUUUUUAACCAAUUUGGAAAAAUCGCUUCACAUAAUUUUUCUAUUUCACCAUCACUGGCAUGUGAUUGUUGUGACUUUAGCUCUUGUCGACAUUGCCUAAAAUUUUAAAAUGUUAAAGUUAAUAACAAAUUAUUAUAAAUUUAGUACAAAAUAAUAUUUCAUACUUACUCUAAAUAAGGCUUCAGUUCUUGACAAUUGAAUAUCACAUAGUUAUGCGCAAUUUGCAUUUCAGCAUGUGACAACUGCCUUUUAUAAAAUCUUUUGGAUAAUUUUUUCCCUGGAUAGGAAAAAAUAGAGAGACAUCCAUCUACACUUCUAAGGCCACCAUCAUCAUUCCGUGGAACUCGAUUCCAAAUUGUUUGCACGUCAUCACCAAAAUAAUGAGAUGCAAAAUUGGUAAUUUCAUCAAUCAAGUAUGCUUCACAUAUGGAACCCUCAACUUUAGCUUUAUUGGUCACUUUCUUCUUCAGAUAAAACAUAUACCUAUAUCAUUUAUGUCAAUUAGUUUAUUUUUUAAAAAUCAAAAGUUAAUAAAAUUAACAUAGUAUGAAAACAUACCGUUCAAAUGGAUACAUCCAUCGAUAUUGAACUGGUCCACCAACUUUUGCCUCGUAAGGUAGAUGUAUCGUCAAGUGUUCCAUGGAGUCAAAGAAUGAUGGAGGAAAAAUCCUUUCAAGUUUGCAAAUUAUUUCAAUUAUAUUCAUCUGCAUUAACUCCAUGUGCUGGGCAUUCAAAUUUGUUGAACAAAUAUCUCGAAAAAAUACGGACAAUUCAGUUAAUGCCUCCCACAGUGGCCUAGGUAAGUAAGGUCGGAAAGCGGUUGGAAGAAGUCUUUGAAUGAAGACAUGACAAUCAUGACUCUUCAUCCCUGAAACCUUACAUUGUGCCUCUUUCACACAUCUUGAAAUGCUUGAAGCAUAACCAUCAGGAAAUGAUAAUUCCUUCAUCCAUGACAAGACUUCUUGUUGUUGUUUCUUGUGUAGACAAUAAGUGCCUUUAGGUUUGUAAACCCGACCACUCAUAUCUUGUUGCAAAUGCAAAUUUGGCUUCUGACAAUACAAUUGAAUAUCCAAUCUAGCCUUUAAAUUGUCCUUGCUUCUAUUCGGACAAUCCAUAACUGUAUAAAAAAUAUUGUCAAAGACAUUUUUCUCAACAUGCAUGACAUCAAGAUUAUGACGAAUCAAAUUUGUAUGCCAAUAUGGAAGCUCCCAGAAAAUGCUCUUCUUCACCCAAUUAUGCUUAACCCCAAAGCCAGGAAUUUUAUCAUUAUAUGAUGAACCUCCAUUAUGUCCCUCAGUAUACAUGGACACUUCGUUUAACAUUUCCAAACCAGAUGGACGAGGUAAAGGAGGGAGCAUUUCAAUUACUCCUUUCAAAAACUUAUCAGAUUGAAAUCUAUAUGGGUGGUUCAUAGGUAAGAAUCGUCGAUGACAAUCAAAAAAUGUAGUUUUCCCUCCAUUUUUUAAUCUAAAAGCCUUGCUAUGCUCCAUACAAUAAGGACAAGACAGAUUUCCAUGAGUACUCCACCCCGAUAACAUGCCAUAUGCUGGAAAGUCACUAAUUGUCCACAUCAAAGCUGCCCUUAAUUGAAAAUUUUCCUUUCUGUAUACAUCAUAUGUUUCAACACCAACAGACCACAAAUUCUUUAACUCAUCAAUCAAAGGUCUUAGGAAAACAUCAAGCUUUUUACCCGGAUUCUUUGGCCCAGGAAUCAUCAUUGUCAAAAACAUGAAUGGUCUAGUCAUGCACUUCCACGGAGGCAAAUUAUAAACAGUCACAAUUACUGGCCAACAAGAAUAUGUAUUUGAAGACAUGUCAAAUGGACAAAACCCAUCAGUGCACAACCCUAACCGAAUAUUUCUCGGAUCUGAUGCAAAGCUUAAGUGGACACGAUUAAACUCUUUCCAUGCCUCCCCAUCAGAUGGGUGCACCAUAACCCCAUUAUCAGAAUUAUGAAAAUGAUGCCAUGUCAUAUCUUUGGCAUGAUAUGGAGACAUGAACAGUCUCUGAAGCCUUGGUGUUAAGGGAAAGUAUCGGAGUUGCUUCUCCGCCUUAUUGGAACCUUUACUAGUUGGAUUUCUAGGUUUGUAUCGUGAACUUCCACAAAAAUCACAAUUUAUUUUCAUUGCAUCUGCCCCAUAGUACAGCAUACAGUAAUUAGGACACACAUCAUAUUUCUCAUAACCAAGUCCAAGUGGUCGCAUAAAUUUCUUGGCAUCAUAAAAAUUUGAAACCAAAUUUUCAUCAUUAGGCAUGCAACUUUUUGUAAAGUCAAUAAAAUUAUUGAAGGCAUUCUGAGUCAAAUUUAAAUUUGACUUCAUAUUGAGCAAUUGUACACAAGCAGAUAAUUUGGAUUGCUUGGUACACCCAUCCCACAACGGCUCCUCCGCAGCUUUCAAAAGGUUAAAAAAUUUAGUUGCCUCCGGAUUUGGAAUUUCUCCAGCUACCACAGGACUAGACACAUUAUCAUUAUAGAAUGCAUCACCAACCCCCAUUGCAUCCAUAACCAGAUUCCUAUAUGGAUUCUCUAGACAAACAUCAUUCACAGCAUGACUCAUUAUAAUCGAUGAAGGUCCAGCCAAUAUUGGUUCUGCGACAUAAGGCUCCCCAUGUACAGUCCAAUUUUCAUAACAAGGUAAAAAACCUUUUGUCAAUAGAUGUUUACAAACAUCAUCCUCCUUUAAAAACUUUUGAUUUUUGCACCUCACACAAGGACAUCUAAUUUUUCCCCCAGAUAUAUUUUUAUCAAUUGAAAAUGCAAAAUUGAUAAAUCUUCUAACACCGGUAAUGUAUUCAGGACAAAGGCGACCAUCCAUAAGACGACGAUACAUCCACGAUCGAUCAUCCAUGUUAAUCUAAUUAACAUGACAACACCAAUAAGUAUUUUUUGAAAUAAGCAUACUUCUUUAACUACUAGUACUUAAACAAUCCUUUAAAAUAAAAUAUGUACCACAUGAAAGGCAGAGUUCCAACUACUUGAAAGCAUUACAAUAGGCAUGCCCAACAGAAAAAUCAUGCACGAUAUAAUUAAGCAACCAUGUAAAAAUGGAGCAAAAUAGAACUUACCGAAUCCCCAAGAAUCAAUGGCACAAGGUGGAGGUUUUCUUAUUGCAACCCAAUUAGAUUUAGCCAACUCUAUUGGAUUAUAUUGUGAUCCAAUAAGCCAUUCAUAUUGCUGGAAAAAAAAAAAAACAUAAACAGUAUGUUACACCCAUCAAGUUAUAACAAUUUCUAGUUUUUAAAACAAAUCCAAGUUAAACUAUGAAAAGCAAAAAGCAUAUACAAGUUAAAGAAUGAAAUUUUAAUAUUUGUUUGGUACUUGUCUUCUCAUAACAAAUAUUUUUUCAUUUUAGAUAUAACCUGAAAUUUUUCAUUUAAUUUAAUAGCCCCUGUUUUGAUUCCAAGGAUGCGUCUGAAAGGGUGGAAAGACAUGAAGGGAAAUAAAAUGCACAGAGGGACCGGAUGCUUGCUUUGUGUAAAAAGCUUGAAAUGAUCCAGAAGACAAGGUCUUCCAGAUAUGUGCUAGCUAAUUGGAAUCUGUUGGAAUUUAGCAGGAGAAAAAAGCAGACAUCUCCUUUUCAAAUGGGAAAUCAUUACUUGCAAUAAAAUUCACUAGUUAGUAACUCUUGAAUGGGGAACCUUAUUUUUUUUUCCUUUUUCUUCAGUUUACCCUUUUGAUUUUAUGUGGAGUACUCAAGUUCUUGAGAUCUCUUAUAAAUAAAGCACAUGAAAAGAGGGGAUUUGAUUAUUAAAAAAACAAAAAAACCUACCUAACUAAUUAGAAUAUGGCAUAUAAUUUAAUGACCAAGCAGACUGGUAAUUGCUUGAUGUCCAUAGAUGUUGGUUCUCAAAACUCAAGAAUUGUUUUUUUUCUUCUUAUUAUUAUUAUUAUUUCUAUGUUAAACUGGUUAUACGUGUGCUCCCAUUAACAUCCACACAGUACUGUAGUCUUCGGGAAUUCCAAUAUAAGCUUGGAAAAAACGAAAAUCACCCACAGAUAGUGUCCUUUGAUGGCUCAACAAAUAAAGCAAAAGAGACUGGUGCUAUUAAUUGUUGCAUGUGCAUCAAUAAAUCAAGAAUCUUGUUUGGUCUUAUUUCUUCCUGAAAAAGCGUUGCUUUAGGUCUCUUUUAUCUUGAAAUUAUUCAAUCCAAUUCUUAUUUAUUACUACAUGAAAUGGAAGGAAAAACAAUUGACGUCUGUGCUUUAAUAUACAGCAAUACAUUCAUUAAUUGAAAAGAUUGCUUUAAUUUACAGCAAUACAUUCAUUAAUUGAAAAGAUUACAAUAGGCAUGCCCAGUAGACAAAUUAAGCAUAAUCUAAUUAAGCAACCAUCAAAAAAUGGAGCAAAAUAGACUUACCAAAGCCCCAAUAAUCAAUGGCCGAAGGUGGAGAUUUCCUUGUUGCAACCCAAUCAGACUUAACCAACUCUAUUGAUUUAUAUUGUGAUCCAUUAAGCCAUUCAUAUUGCUGGAAAAAUAAAAAACAUAAACAGUAUGUUAAACCCAUCCAGCUUUAUCAAUUGCUAGUCUUUAAAACAAAUCUAAGUUAAACUAUGAAAAACAGAAAGCAUAUCCAAGUUAAAGUACCGUUUAGUUUUCAUAUUUUCAUGGCAAUUGUCUUCUCAUAACAAUUUUUUUUCUUCUAAGAUCUAACCUAAAAACAGAACACUUGAGACUCAUAACAUGAUCCAUGGUUUCUUCUGUUCAGACUUGAAACGACAGCAAAGAUGACUGAAAUUAAAGGCUUUUAUAAUAUCAUUAUAUUUUGCAUUAAUUUGUCGUAAUCUAAUUAUACAAUUAUUAUAUUUCAUUCUAAUUAAAAACUAUCAUUUAUAAUAAAAAAAUCUAUAUUCUUUACAGUUUUUUUGUCUUAAUGUAAAGAAGUUUACGUUAUCUGUGAUGAAAUAGUUUGUUUCUUUCCAUUAAAGUAAAACAGUCACUUCAGAAUCCAAACCAUUUCUUGUCCUAAUUAUUUUUUUAAUUUUUUGCUUUAUCGAUAAAUCAGUAGAUUGUGCCUACAUUAAGCCACUAAUUAGGAUACAAACAGAAUCCAACUAAAAGUAGCAAAUGGAAGACAAAAAACAGAACAUUUAAACAUCAGUACUUAAAUAUGCAUAUUUAAAUUUUGAUACAAGAGAAUCAAUACACACCACUUAAUCAAUGCAUAGGUAUGUAGACUCAGUCAAAUGAAAUAAACCUAAGGUAUCUAACAGGAACCUGAAACACAGAAAUCAGUAUCCUGAUUAUGAAUCUGCUUAACUUCAGAAAUUAUCAUGUGAAUUUGGUUUGAUAUUAUGAUAGAAGAACAUCAUCAACAAUCAAUCUUUAUAUCUUAACCCAGCUUCGUUUUCAAAACAAAAGGCAUCAGAUCAGCAGCAGAUAAGAUCAAACAACAUAAUGAAGAACUACACUAAUGCACUAGUAUUGACAGAGAUUAUGGUAAUGUUAUAAUAUUUUGUCGCGCGUAUUCAUAGAAUUCAUUCUCCUCUCAUGGUUUAAGAACACAAAUUACUAAAUGAACAAAAACAAACACUACUCAUGGUUGUAUCUUGAUGUCAGAAUACCAUGCCCAAUCAACUGCUAUCAAAUUCAAUAAUACAGUACCUGUAAGACCUAAAUUCUAAUCUGAAACCCUUCAUAACUUUAACUAUUUCGAGUGUUAUCAAGCUACUUUGACUGGAAAAGUUAGUUGCUCUAAAAAAUUAUGUUGUGACCCGAGAGACAAUGGGAGCAAAGGUGAUAAAAGCCUUGUUUUGUUUAAAGACAAUUAUAUGCCUAAGGAGAUGAGAAAAUGUGGAGAUAUAACAUUGGAUCUUACAAAACAGGAGUUUGAACAGAAAAAAUCAUCCCACUUACACGAUGAUAUGAAGGUAUCUCAUGGGGGAAAACAACUAUCUACUGGCAAAAAGAAACCAAAGGGAAGCAAAAAUGAUUAUAGCUCAACUGCUGGGACAUUCAAAUAUUUAUGAACCGUAACCCUAAAAAUUAAAUUGGGGGUUUUGAUAAAUUUUCAAUUACACAUGCUUAAUUACGUUAUAGAUCAUGGUAAAAACAUUUCAUAACACCUAUAUUAUCGAAUUAAUAGCCUAAAACCAUUAUUCAAAGCAUUGAAAAAAAAAAUGUUACCUGUGUUCUUGAGUUACAGGUGACCGAGAUCGUUCGACAUGACAGAAAAAAAACCUGAGAUUGGGAAAGUUGGGUGAAAAAUUUUUAGUGCAAGUUAAAUUGCAACAAACAAAACAAAAACAAAAACCAUUAAUUACUUACCUGAACUAUUGAAGAAAACCGUGAAACACCCAACCCGUUUACAAUGAGAUACCUUAAACCAGCAUGUUCGAUGGUGAUAAUGAUGGGUCUGGUUCGAUUUUGUUCAGAUGAAGGAGAAGAAUUAGGGAUCCUGAAGACGCGAAGAAGAUGAAAUGUUUGGGAAAAAGGAAAAUCAAAUCGAUGAAGAGAGGGUGAUUUUUCUACACUUAUGGAUCGAUGUUCUUAGGGACGAAGGAGAUCGACUGGAAGAGUGGAAGAGUGGAAGAUCAUUAAUUUUCACCUGUUGGUUUUGUUCAUUUGGUCUCGAUCUGUUUGCAUCUCGGUGUGGGGGGAGAAGUUGGUGCGGAUGGAUUUACCAAAGCUAGCAAAGAAUAAACGGUUGAGAUUUUAUCCUUGGAAAUGUUAUCAACGGUCUUCGUAAAUUUGGUUUUAUAUUAAAAUUUAAUUAAUUAUUUUUUACUUAGCAACGGAAAAUCCGUUGCUAAAUUCAACGUAAAUUUUGCAACGGAUUUUCCGUUGCUAAAAUCCGUUGCUGAUAUUAAAAAACUAAUAUAUGUGUAAUCCGUUGCAAAUCUGAUACUGAAUUUAGCAACGGAAUUUUCCGUUGCUAAAUUCCGUUGCUAAUUGCCCCUCUUUCUAGUAGUGGCAUGACAAAAACUGCAAGCAUAAGUACGCCCAUAUAUUUCAUCAAAAAAGGAACGUACAUGUGGAUGAUAUACACCCAAGUUUAUUUAAAUUAGGAGGCCAUAUAAUUUAUUCUAGUACAGUAGGGCAUCCUUUUUUAUCAUACAACUCAAAAGACUCACGAGGACAUUCAUCAUCUCAUCACUCACAAGCAAGUCGUGGCGUAGGAAUUGAAUUAAUGAACUUGGUGGCAGCAAGCAUGGCGUUGUAGGAGGCUAAAUAGCUAAUUCCUGAGUUUGAACUUGUUUCACCAGCUAUAUUUGAAACACCUUGGAACACCACGAAGAGCUUUUCAUUUGACAUAGAUGUCUGCAAAUUGGGACACAAACAAAUUCGUUAACCAAAUUAAUCAUGCGUAGCUUCCUAGCUAAAAGGCAUCUCUAGAAGAAGAAGAAGAAACACAAACUUUUGAGCUCGUAGAAGGUUUUUUUACUAACCAAAGCUACAGAAGCACUUGCUGUAUCGGCAGUUUUUGCAUCAAAAUUUUUGUUAAGGAAGUCUCCGUAUGCUUUGUUUCGAACGUAAAAAUCAGAAGUAGAACCCUUGGAUCCGAAGACAACUUUGGGUUUUCCGGGCAGGCAUUUAUCAGAAUAACAUUCUCUUAACUUCAUAUCCUGCAAUGAAUAAUCAAUUAAUUAUUGUAGUUAAUCCACUUGAAAAUUCAAAGAUAUAUAUAUUCAUGGUCUCAAUAAUAUCAUUAUAGGCUUAGCGAUAGUUUUAAUGGCAAUGAAGAAGAAACAUGCAGCUAAUUCAGCUGAAUAUUCUGAGAUUGACAAACCUUGAGCUUAUUAGUGGCAGCUUCAUACCAGGAUGCGGUGAUGGGAAGCCAGAAAACUUCCUUGGGUGCUUCACUUGGAGUGAACAUGUUAAUUUUCUCAUACUCUACAGUCCCCAACAAGUUCUCUCCAUUCUCUGGAUAAUUGAAG
rnacentral:lncRNA from 1 species